ACCAUUAAAACAUUUGUUUCUAUUUUCAAACAUGAGCAAAGUGCCUGCUCAUUUUCACUGCACAUACUUUGAGGUUAGGGUUCUCUGUGGAUGAUUUUUGACAUUUCGAAUAACCUUGGACUUGAUCUAUAGUCAACAUUUGAAUUUUUAGGGC